UACGGAGGGUGCGAGCGUUAUCCGGAAUUACUGGGUUUAAAGGGUGCGUAGGCGGCUUUGUAAGUCAGGAGUGAAAGUUUGCAGCUCAACUGUAAAAUUGCUUCUGAUACUGCAGAGCUGGAAUCAGGAUGAGGUCAGCGGAAUGUGGCAUGUAGCGGUGAAAUGCAUAGAUAUGCCAUAGAACACCAAUUGCGAAGGCAGCUGGCUAGACCGGUAUUGACGCUGAGGCACGAAAGCGUGGGGAGCGAACAGG
rnacentral:rRNA from 1 species